rnacentral:rRNA from 1 species
UGGGGAAUAUUGGACAAUGGGGGCAACCCUGAUCCAGCGAUGCCGCGUGAGUGAAGAAGGCCUUCGGGUUGUAAAGCUCUUUCACCUGUGAAGAUAAUGACGGUAGCAGGAGAAGAAGCACCGGCAAACUCUGUGCCAGCAGCCGCGGUAAGACAGAGGGUGCUAGCGUUGUUCGGAAUGACUGGGCGUAAAGGGCGCGUAGGCUGUUAUUCAAGUCAGAUGUGAAAGCCCCGGGCUUAACCUGGGAACUGCAUUUGAUACUGUAUGACUGGAGUGCGAGAGAGGAAAGCGGAAUUCCUAGUGUAGAGGUGAAAUUCGUAGAUAUUAGGAGGAACACCAGAGGCGAAGGCGGCUUUCUGGCUCGCAACUGACGCUGAGGCGCGAAAGCGUGGGGAGCAAA